AGUUAAUAUAUAUUUUUUUAUGUGUAUAUUAUACAAACUGUGUAUGUUCAGAUAUGCACUACAAAAAAAUUUUAAAUUAACUGCAAGAUUCAGUAAGCAUUAAGUACAAUUGUGCGAUCGAUUUCAAGGCGUUUUAUAUUUGAAUAUUGGACGUCACGACUUAAAUUCUAAAUGAGGAAAUAUUCAAAUAUUACAGCUAAGUGCGUUCGAGCAGUUCUAUUUGUGAAACGGUAUCAAACCUAUUGUAUUUCGUGCUCAUUUUAUAGUGGUAUGUUCACGGUUUAACAUGAACUAUAAAGAUUUCGUUGUAUUUGUGAAACGGUAUCAAACCUAUGGUAUUUCGUGCUCAUUUUAUAGCGGUAUGUUCACGGUUUAACAUGAACUAUAAAGAUUUCGUUGAGAAUUACUAAACUGUCAACUUAUGAUGUAUGUUAUGCUCCUCAGUUUCAACCAGUACUGCAAGAAGAUUA
rnacentral:lncRNA from 1 species